UACGUAGGGGGCAAGCGUUGUCCGGAUUUACUGGGCGUAAAGAGCGUGUAGGCGGCCAAACAGGUCCGUUGUGAAAACUGGAGGCUCAACCUCCAGACGUCGACGGAAACCGUGUGGCUAGAGUCCGGAAGAGGAGAGUGGAAUUCCUGGUGUAGCGGUGAAAUGCGCAGAUAUCAGGAGGAACACCGGUGGCGAAGGCGGGAUCCUGGGCCAGUACUGACGCUGGGGAGCGAAAGCGUGGGGAGCAAACAGG
rnacentral:rRNA from 1 species